rnacentral:rRNA from 1 species
GACGAACGCUGGCGGCGUGCCUAAUACAUGCAAGUAGAACGCAGUUGCGAACGGGUGAGUAACGCGUAGGUAACCUGCCUCAUAGCGGGGGAUAACUAUUUGAAAAGAUAGCUAAUACCGCAUACUGUGAGAUGGACCUGCGUUGUAUUAGCUAGUUGGUGAGGUAAAGGCUCACCAAGGCGACGAGACAUAGCCGACCUGAGAGGGUGAUCGGGCACACUGGUACGGAGACACGGCCCAGACUCCUACGGGAGGCAGCAGUGGGGAAUAUUGCACAAUGGGCGCAAGCCUGAUGCAGCCAUGCCGCGUGUAUGAAGAAGGCCUUCGGGUUGUAAAGUACUUUCAGCGGGGAGGCGUUACCCGCAGAAGAAGCACCGGCUAACUCCGGGCCAGCAGCCGCGGUAAUUC